GAUGAACGCUGGCGGCGUGCCUAAUACAUGCAAGUCGAGCGAACGGACGAGAAGCUUGCUUCUCUGAUGUUAGCGGCGGACGGGUGAGUAACACGUGGAUAACCUACCUAUAAGACUGGGAUAACUUCGGGAAACCGGAGCUAAUACCGGAUAAUAUUUUGAACCGCAUGGUUCAAAAGUGAAAGACGGUCUUGCUGUCACUUAUAGAUGGAUCCGCGCUGCAUUAGCUAGUUGGUAAGGUAACGGCUUACCAAGGCAACGAUGCAUAGCCGACCUGAGAGGGUGAUCGGCCACACUGGAACUGAGACACGGUCCAGACUCCUACGGGAGGCAGCAGUAGGGAAUCUUCCGCAAUGGGCGAAAGCCUGACGGAGCAACGCCGCGUGAGUGAUGAAGGUCUUCGGAUCGUAAAACUCUGUUAUUAGGGAAGAACAUAUGUGUAAGUAACUGUGCACAUCUUGACGGUACCUAAUCAGAAAGCCACGGCUAACUACGUGCCAGCAGCCGCGGUAAUACGUAGGUGGCAAGCGUUAUCCGGAAUUAUUGGGCGUAAAGCGCGCGUAGGCGGUUUUUUAAGUCUGAUGUGAAAGCCCACGGCUCAAUCGUGGAGGGUCAUUGGAAACUGGAAAACUUGAGUGCAGAAGAGGAAAGUGGAAUUCCAUGUGUAGCGGUGAAAUGCGCAGAGAUAUGGAGGAACACCAGUGGCGAAGGCGACUUUCUGGUCUGUAACUGACGCUGAUGUGCGAAAGCGUGGGGAUCAAACAGGAUUAGAUACCCUGGUAGUCCACGCCGUAAACGAUGAGUGCUAAGUGUUAGGGGGUUUCCGCCCCUUAGUGCUGCAGCUAACGCAUUAAGCACUCCGCCUGGGGAGUACGACCGCAAGGUUGAAACUCAAAGGAAUUGACGGGGACCCGCACAAGCGGUGGAGCAUGUGGUUUAAUUCGAAGCAACGCGAAGAACCUUACCAAAUCUUGACAUCCUUUGACAACUCUAGAGAUAGAGCCUUCCCCUUCGGGGGACAAAGUGACAGGUGGUGCAUGGUUGUCGUCAGCUCGUGUCGUGAGAUGUUGGGUUAAGUCCCGCAACGAGCGCAACCCUUAAGCUUAGUUGCCAUCAUUAAGUUGGGCACUCUAAGUUGACUGCCGGUGACAAACCGGAGGAAGGUGGGGAUGACGUCAAAUCAUCAUGCCCCUUAUGAUUUGGGCUACACACGUGCUACAAUGGACAAUACAAAGGGCAGCGAAACCGCGAGGUCAAGCAAAUCCCAUAAAGUUGUUCUCAGUUCGGAUUGUAGUCUGCAACUCGACUACAUGAAGCUGGAAUCGCUAGUAAUCGUAGAUCAGCAUGCUACGGUGAGUACGUUCCCGGGUCU
rnacentral:rRNA from 1 species